rnacentral:rRNA from 1 species
AGAUUGAACGCUGGCGGCAUGCCUAACACAUGCAAGUCGAACGGGAGUAGCAAUACUCUAGUGGCGGACGGGUGAGGAAUACGUAGGAAUUUGCCCUUAAGUGGGGGAUAACCCGGGGAAACCCGGAUUAAUACCGCAUGACCUCGAAAGAGCAAAGUGGGGGAUCGCAAGACCUCACGCUUUUGGAGAAGCCUACGUCGGAUUAGCUAGUUGGUGAGGUAAUGGCUCACCAAGGCGACGAUCCGUAACUGGUCUGAGAGGAUGAUCAGCCACACCGGAACUGAGACACGGUCCGGACUCCUACGGGAGCAGCAGUGGGAAUAUUGGACAAUGGCGCAAGCCUGAUCCAGCAAUGCCGCGUGUGUGAAGAAGGCCGUUGGUUAGUAAAGCUAACGUUUAAGUUAGGGAAGAAAAAACGUACGUACGUACUAACACAGU